rnacentral:rRNA from 1 species
CCUACGGGAGGCAGCAGUGGGGAAUAUUGGUCAAUGGGCGCGAGCCUGAACCAGCCAAGUCGCGUGAGGGAUGACGGUCCUACGGAUUGUAAACCUCUUUUGCCGGGGGGCAAGCGUUCGUUCGUGAACGCGCGUCGAGAGUCCCCGACGACAAAGCAUCGGCUAACUCCGUGCCAGCAGCCGCGGUAAUACGGAGGAUGCGAGCGUUAUCCGGAUUUAUUGGGUUAAAGGGGUGCGUAGGCGGGAUGCCACGUCAGCGGUAAAAAUGCGGUGCUCAACGCCGGCGAGCCGUUGAAACUGGCGGUCUUGAGUGGGCGAGAAGUAUGCGGAAUGCGUGGUGUAGCGGUGAAAUGCAUAGAUAUCACGCAGAACUCCGAUUGCGAAGGCAGCAUACCGGCGCCCGACUGACGCUGAGGCACGAAAGCGUGGGUAUCGAACAGGAUUAGAUACCCUGGUAGUC